UGGAUUAAGAGCUUGUCUCUUAUGAAGUUAGCGGCGGACGGGUGAGUAACACGUGGGUAACCUGCCCAUAAGACUGGGAUAACUCCGGGAAACCGGGGCUAAUACCGGAUAACAUUUUGAACCGCAUGGUUCGAAAUUGAAAGGCGGCUUCGGCUGUCACUUAUGGAUGGACCCGCGUCGCAUUAGCUAGUUGGUGAGGUAACGGCUCACCAAGGCAACGAUGCGUAGCCGACCUGAGAGGGUGAUCGGCCACACUGGGACUGAGACACGGCCCAGACUCCUACGGGAGGCAGCAGUAGGGAAUCUUCCGCAAUGGACGAAAGUCUGACGGAGCAACGCCGCGUGAGUGAUGAAGGCUUUCGGGUCGUAAAACUCUGUUGUUAGGGAAGAACAAGUGCUAGUUGAAUAAGCUGGCACCUUGACGGUACCUAACCAGAAAGCCACGGCUAACUACGUGCCAGCAGCCGCGGUAAUACGUAGGUGGCAAGCGUUAUCCGGAAUUAUUGGGCGUAAAGCGCGCGCAGGUGGUUUCUUAAGUCUGAUGUGAAAGCCCACGGCUCAACCGUGGAGGGUCAUUGGAAACUGGGAGACUUGAGUGCAGAAGAGGAAAGUGGAAUUCCAUGUGUAGCGGUGAAAUGCGUAGAGAUAUGGAGGAACACCAGUGGCGAAGGCGACUUUCUGGUCUGUAACUGACACUGAGGCGCGAAAGCGUGGGGAGCAAACAGGAUUAGAUACCCUGAUAGUCCACGCCGUAAACGAUGAGUGCUAAGUGUUAGAGGGUUUCCCGCCCCUUUUAGUGCUGAAGUU
rnacentral:rRNA from 1 species